GGCAGUUUCCCCUGCUCUGUGUUACACUCUUCUCUCUCUCCUGCAGGCAUGUGAAAAGAUCCAAGCUUGCUUCCCCUUCACCUUCUGCCAUGAUUGUAAGUUUCCUGAGGCCUCCCCAGACAUGUGGAGCUGUGAGUCAACUAAACCUCUUUUAUUUAUAAAUUAUCCAGUCUCAGGGAAAUUCUUUAUAGCAGUGUGAGAAUGGACUAAUAUAAGGGGCAAAGAGAAUCAUUCCUGGACAGCUCUGUAGACUGCUGCAAGAACUAUUCCACUUGAAGACAAAUGUGUGAUUCUGCCCUGCUGAGACAGUCUUGCUCUGUUGCCCAGGCCGGAGUGGAGUGGCACAGUCAUAAUUCCCUGUACCCUUGAAAUCCUGAGCUCAAGCCAUCUCCAUACCUUAGCCUCCCAAGUGGCUACUACAGGCCUGCUAUCUUAUCAUUUGAUGCUCUACUAGAGUCAGAUUGGAAUUUGGCAUCUUACUGCUACGAACAGUCUGUUUUAACUGACUGAUAGUAUUUUCCUUUGGAAGAUCCUUUUAUAUUCUGUCUCUAUGAAAGAAGUGUUUUCAAUGAAAUAAGAUAUUUAUUCCAAAUCAAUCCUGCACCAGAAGCUCCAUUUCUGCAUUCGCUUCCAGAAAACACAGCAGCCGUAUGUGAAUUUGGGAGUGGUCCCACGAACAGGUUAUGAGACGAGGUUUUGGAGCUGGAUCACACCUGACACAACUGGCAUUGAAAACCUUAUUACCAAGAGCCUCUGGCACAAGCCUGCUAUGAAGAAAUACCCAAGACUGGGUACUUUCUCAACUUUCAAAUUGAGCUGUUCAGAAUGUGUGAAACAAUUUUAAGAUGAAGUCAAAGAUACUUGAAGCAGAAGCUGUAUCUGAGGAAGCUGUAUAUAAACCCAAUUUAAAGCAAGUUUAACCUGCUGAUUGGGAAGAAUUUUUAUGAAAAGCUGUGUGCUUCCUGAUAAGAAAAAAGGCUUUCCUGUUUCGAUCAAACCAGAACCAAUGGCUGCACCUUUCUAGAGUCCAGGCCAAAGGCAAACAGCUUCCAAUAAUCCACAGAUCUUUUCCGUAAUGGACAACUUUGCUCUCAUCGUGACAGAGGAUAUCUUGAAAUGAAAACUUGGAGUUGUAGUACCAAUGACGAUGAUAUAUGUGUCUAAGUGGUCAGUGAAAAUGUGUCUCUCAAUUAUCAACAUUUGGCAUCAAAUGCUACGAAAGAAUGUUGUGGGGUGGGUUGCUUAGAGUUGACAACAGGACCUGUAACUCACAUCCUAGCAAUCAUUUGACUCCUAAGUAUAUUCUCUAAAAUGAAACAACCUGCCAAACAUGCAUUUUAGAUGACAAAUUUAUGAUGUUAAAAUUAUUUGCUCAUCAAAUGAGCUCAGUUUUGUAAUCUAUAACAAUACCAAUUUGGACAUUUGCCUUUUGUGAAUAGCUCAUUUACUGCUAUAAAAGGAAAGAGAAAGAGAGAGAAAGAAAGAGAAUAAAUCAUGUAAUUGUGUAGCACCUGCUAUGUUCUAGGGACUAUGAUAAAUUUAUAAUCAGUUAAAGUCAUUUUUCAUAAUCCCAAGAAGGAAUUUUUGGGUAGCAGUAAUUCCCCUAUUCCCUUUCAGAUGUGAAAGCUGAUGAUAAUGAAUGACAGAUUAUCUAAAUUUAAAAAAUCCAUGUCAUCUUCAAUACUACACUGCCUAUUUACUUUCUCGCAAUAUGCUCUCAGCCCUCCAGCACUGUUUGGUUUUCCAAAAAAAGGUCAUAAUGACCUUGAAGUUUAGAACAUGUCUCACUGCAUUAUUGUUUAGGGCAGUCCUGACCCUGAUUUCUUACACUAAGCUUUCUCUAUUGAUUUCUACAGAAGUCAUUAUGUCCUGAGAGCAUAUUUUGAUGUUUAACUUCCACCCCUGUGUAAUAUUAUCUGUUGACUAGCCUUCAGUCCCUUUUCUCUGAGACUCUGCUAUUUCCUUUUUCUCUGUCAUAUUCAGGUCUACUUUUACAAUUGAUUCUUCAAACUGAUAUCACAUAUUAUCUCAACAGAGUCAUUGACAUACUACAAGUAAUUUCCUUGAGAUUUUCAUCUGACUUGUACCAUCCUGAUAAUUGUUACCCUGAGAUACUGAAAUUAAAGUGAUGUUUGAAAAGUAUCCUCUAUUUAAGCUACUAUUAUUCUUCAUUGACUUUCAGUGAUUCCAAAAGUCUAGAGCUUUCAUGUCCAGUGUAUGAGCCCCUAGCUAUCAAAUCCAGAGCUAUUAAGGCCACUGAAUAAUAGUACAAUAGAGAACAACAUAAUUCGAUCAAUAUUUUACAAAGAAAAUUAAGAAUGUAGCCUAGAAAAUGUUAAGAAGGAGAAAGAAAUGGAAUCAGAACUGUCAAAAUAAAACUACAGUAGUCUGGUUAAGAUAUAAAUCACAUAUGUGCCCUACACACACAUAUUUAAAGACAUCCAUUUUUGUUAUCAACCUGAAUAAAGAUGCCCACCUGAGAAAAAAGCACUGUUACCAAGGCAUCUGAUUCAGAUUUUAGCCAAUAUAGAGUUAUGAUGAAUGGGGUAUUGGGGAUACUAGGUAGAGAGAGAGUUUAAAGGGCAAUGAAAUUUGUUGCCAACACAGGAACCUCCUUCUUCAGGGUGUUCUACAUUCAGUUUCGUUACAUUUUCUUCAUCUUUUUUUCUAUUGUGUUGUAGCCUGAGAAAUCUGGAUACUCAUAUUAUCCUUGUAUUCCUCACCUUGAAAUGUUUUAUCCAAGUUUCAUUGGUCUGCAUGUGUUAUGCUGAGUGAGACAUUGUAUCAGCAUAUAAUAUUGGGCUAUAUUUGUUGUUGCCUUUAUUAUUGCCAUCAAUAACCUUGUUCAAGGAAGAUUUAGAAAAGACUUAGAAUCCUUUCUGUGUAAUUUAAGAUGCUGUAUUGGGUUCAUCCUGUAAUACAGACUCAAUGAGUGUUUGUUGAAGUGUUGAGUAAACAAAUUUUGCUUAAGAAGAAAAGAACAGAUUAAUAUGCUUAUUUGCUUAAUGCAUAUAAUUGCAGUGCAAAAAUCAAACUAUUUAGGCAGAUAUUUUAUUUGCUAAUAAUCACUCUUUUUAGCUUAUUUAUAAUUAUAAUUUGUUAAUUGUAAUUUUAUUAUUAUUUUUUGUAUUCACAUAUUAAGUCCAGCAUAUCGGUUCAUUCACCCAUUUAUUUAUUUUACUUUUUUUUUAUUAUACUUUAAGUUCUAGGGUACAUGUGCACAACGUGCAGGUUUGUUACAUAGGUGUACAUGUGCCUUGUUGGUUUGCUGCACCUAUUAACUCAUCAUUUACAUUAGAUAUAUCUCCUAAUGCUAUCCCUCCCCCAUUCCCCCACCCCAUGACAGGCCUGUGUAUGAUGUUCCCUGCCCUGUGUCCAAGUGUUUUCAUUGUUCAGUUCCCACCUAUGAGUGAGAACAUAUGGUGUUUGGUUUUCUGUCCUUGCAAUAGUUUGCUCAGAAUGAUGGUUUCCAACUUCAUUCAUGUCUCUACAAAGGACAUGAACUCAUCCUUUUUUAUGGCUGCAUAGUAUUCCAUGGUAUAUAUGUGCCACAUUUUCUUAAUCCAGUUUAUCAUUGAUGGACAUUUGGGUUGUUCCAAGUCUCUGCUAUUGUGAAUAGUGCUGCAAUAAACAUACGUGUGCAUAUGU